AAGAAGACUUUCUGCCUCCAGUCUGACAUCCAGAAGAGGAUGUAUGAGGCCCAUGUCAAUGAGAAGCAUGCCCGGCGUCGUCAAAUUGCAAUGAUGAAGCACCUCAAUAUGCCGGUUCAGGGUGGCUCUGAGAAGAGCAUCACACCGGAGGAGCGUUGGAUAUCUACCCACAGCACCUGGACUGAUGAUGAAGCUCCUCACCAGCCCUCCACCUCCUUUGCUGCAGCUGACGAUACCAUGGAGGAAUCCGAUCACGACGAUGAUGACGAGUCUGCUGAUGAGGAUCCAGAUGCGACCGAGGAGUCAGAGGAG
rnacentral:rRNA from 1 species